rnacentral:rRNA from 1 species
UGGGGAAUUUUGGACAAUGGGCGAAAGCCUGAUCCAGCAAUGCCGCGUGUGUGAAGAAGGCCUUCGGGUUGUAAAGCACUUUUGUCCGGAAAGAAAUCCUUGGCUCUAAUACAGUCGGGGGAUGACGGUACCGGAAGAAUAAGCACCGGCUAACUACGUGCCAGCAGCCGCGGUAAUACGUAGGGUGCAAGCGUUAAUCGGAAUUACUGGGCGUAAAGCGUGCGCAGGCGGUUUGCUAAGACCGAUGUGAAAUCCCCGGGCUCAACCUGGGAACUGCAUUGGUGACUGGCAGGCUAGAGUAUGGCAGAGGGGGGUAGAAUUCCACGUGUAGCAGUGAAAUGCGUAGAGAUGUGGAGGAAUACCGAUGGCGAAGGCAGCCCCCUGGGCCAAUACUGACGCUCAUGCACGAAAGCGUGGGGAGCAAACAGGAUUAGAUACCCUGGUAGUCCACGCCCUAAACGAUGUCAACUAGUUGUUGGGGAUUCAUUUCCUAGUAACGUAGCUAACGCGUGAAGUUGACCGCCUGGGGAGUACGGUCGCAAGAUUAAAACUCAAAGGAAUUGACGGGGUCAUAGCUGUUUCCU